rnacentral:lncRNA from 1 species
GGACGACAGCCUGCCGGUCACCUCCAGCCACAUGGGUGCCCCUUGGCCAGGGCUGUGCCCUCUGCCUGGCAUGAGACGUCCCCUGCCCUCUACACAUUCCUGGGCACUCCUACUCCAAACACAUCAAGGAAGAGAAGGCCUUGGGCAAACCCCUUACCGGAAAGGCACCGUUCACCCUGCCCAGACUCCGACCUCCACUUCCUCUCCCCAAAAUGGCAUCAGUUCUGUGGGAAGUCACCUCCAGGCCCCAGGUCAGGGAGGGGGCCACAGAAAGCUCCUGAAAAGGGAAAGCACCCUCCAGGUGGCCCUGCGAGACCCUCGGUUCUGCCCAAAACCCAGAGGCCAGGGCACCUGGACUGGAGGAAGGGAGCCUUGGAGCUGGAAGGGGUGACAAAGCCGAAAUAAAUUAAUCCUGAUCUUUC